CCUACGGGUGGCAGCAGUGGGGAAUAUUGCACAAUGGGGGAAACCCUGAUGCAGCGACGCCGCGUGACCGAAGAAGCCCCUCGGGGUGUAAAGGUCUUUUCUGAAGGAUGAAUUAUGACAGUACUUCAGGAAUAAGCCACGGCUAAUCUCGUGCCAGCAGCCGCGGUAAGACGAGAGUGGCAAGCGUUAUCCGGAAUUAUUGGGCGUAAAGCGUCUGUAGGCGAUCUGGCAAGUUUUUUGUGAAAUUCCAAUGCUCAACAUUGGAGCUGCAGAAAAUACUGCCAGAAUUGAGGAAGAUAGAGGUAAGUGGAAUUCCCGGUGUAGUAGUGAAAUGCGUUAAUAUCGGGAGGAACACCAAUAGCGAAGGCAGCUUACUGGAUCUUUCCUGACGCUCAGAGACGAAAGCGUGGGGAGCGAACAGGAUUAGAUACCCUUGGAGUC
rnacentral:rRNA from 1 species